AUUGAACGCUGGCGGCAUGCUUUACACAUGCAAGUCGGACGGCAGCGCGGGCUUCGGCCUGGCGGCGAGUGGCGAACGGGUGAGUAAUACAUCGGAACGUGCCCAGUAGUGGGGGAUAGCUCGGCGAAAGCCGGAUUAAUACCGCAUACGACCUGAGGGUGAAAGCGGGGGACUUUAGGGCCUCGCGCUAUUGGAGCGGCCGAUGGCAGAUUAGCUAGUUGGUGGGGUAAAGGCCUACCAAGGCGACGAUCUGUAGCUGGUCUGAGAGGACGACCAGCCACACUGGGACUGAGACACGGCCCAGACUCCUACGGGAGGCAGCAGUGGGGAAUUUUGGACAAAGGGCGCAAGCCUGAUCCAGCAAUGCCGCGUGUGUGAUGAAGGCCUUCGGGUUGUAAAGCACUUUUGGCAGGAACGAAAAGUGCCGUGCUAAUACCACGGUACGAUGACGGUACCUGCAGAAUAAGCACCGGCUAACUACGUG
rnacentral:rRNA from 1 species